AACGCUGGCGGCGUGCCUAAUACAUGCAAGUAGAACGCUGAAGAGAGGAGCUUGCUCUUCUUGGAUGAGUUGCGAACGGGUGAGUAACGCGUAGGUAACCUGCCUUGUAGCGGGGGAUAACUAUUGGAAACGAUAGCUAAUACCGCAUAACAAUGGAUGACACAUGUCAUUUAUUUGAAAGGGGCAAUUGUUCCACUACAAGAUGGACCUGCGUUGUAUUAGCUAGUAGGUGAGGUAAUGGCUCACCUAGGCGACGAUACAUAGCCGACCUGAGAGGGUGAUCGGCCACACUGGGACUGAGACACGGCCCAGACUCCUACGGGAGGCAGCAGUAGGGAAUCUUCGGCAAUGGGGGCAACCCUGACCGAGCAACGCCGCGUGAGUGAAGAAGGUUUUCGGAUCGUAAAGCUCUGUUGUAAGUCAAGAACGGGUGUGAGAGUGGAAAGUUCACACUGUGACGGUAGCUUACCAGAAAGGGACGGCUAACUACGUGCCAGCAGCCGCGGUAAUACGUAGGUCCCGAGCGUUGUCCGGAUUUAUUGGGCGUAAAGCGAGCGCAGGCGGUUUGAUAAGUCUGAAGUUAAAGGCUGUGGCUCAACCAUAGUUCGCUUUGGAAACUGUCAAACUUGAGUGCAGAAGGGGAGAGUGGAAUUCCAUGUGUAGCGGUGAAAUGCGUAGAUAUAUGGAGGAACACCGGUGGCGAAAGCGGCUCUCUGGUCUGUAACUGACGCUGAGGCUCGAAAGCGUGGGGAGCGAACAGGAUUAGAUACCCUGGUAGUCCACGCCGUAAACGAUGAGUGCUAGGUGUUGGAUCCUUUCCGGGAUUCAGUGCCGCAGCUAACGCAUUAAGCACUCCGCCUGGGGAGUACGACCGCAAGGUUGAAACUCAAAGGAAUUGACGGGGGCCCGCACAAGCGGUGGAGCAUGUGGUUUAAUUCGAAGCAACGCGAAGAACCUUACCAGGUCUUGACAUCCCGAUGCUAUUUCUAGAGAUAGAAAGUUACUUCGGUACAUCGGUGACAGGUGGUGCAUGGUUGUCGUCAGCUCGUGUCGUGAGAUGUUGGGUUAAGUCCCGCAACGAGCGCAACCCCUAUUGUUAGUUGCCAUCAUUCAGUUGGGCACUCUAGCGAGACUGCCGGUAAUAAACCGGAGGAAGGUGGGGAUGACGUCAAAUCAUCAUGCCCCCUAUGACCUGGGCUACACACGUGCUACAAUGGUUGGUACAACGAGUUGCGAGUCGGUGACGGCGAGCUAAUCUCUUAAAGCCAAUCUCAGUUCGGAUUGUAGGCUGCAACUCGCCUACAUGAAGUCGGAAUCGCUAGUAAUCGCGGAUCAGCACGCCGCGGUGAAUACGUUCCCGGGCCUUGUACACACCGCCCGUCACACCACGAGAGUUUGUAACACCCGAAGUCGGUGAGGUAACCUUUUGGAGCCAGCCGCCUAAGGUGGGACAGAUGAUUGGGGUGAAG
rnacentral:rRNA from 1 species